rnacentral:rRNA from 1 species
UGGGGAAUUUUGGACAAUGGGCGCAAGCCUGAUCCAGCAAUGCCGCGUGAGUGAAGAAGGCCUUCGGGUUGUAAAGCUCUUUUGUCAGGGAAGAAACGGCUGAGGAUAAUACCUUCGGCUAAUGACGGUACCUGAAGAAUAAGCACCGGCUAACUACGUGCCAGCAGCCGCGGUAAUACGUAGGGUGCAAGCGUUAAUCGGAAUUACUGGGCGUAAAGCGUGCGCAGGCGGUUUUGUAAGUCUGACGUGAAAUCCCCGGGCUCAACCUGGGAAUUGCGUUGGAGACUGCAAGGCUGGAGUCUGGCAGAGGGGGGUAGAAUUCCACGUGUAGCAGUGAAAUGCGUAGAGAUGUGGAGGAACACCGAUGGCGAAGGCAGCCCCCUGGGUCAAGACUGACGCUCAUGCACGAAAGCGUGGGGAGCAAACA